UACAGAGGGUGCGAGCGUUGUCCGGAAUCACUGGGCGUAAAGGGUGCGUAGGCGGCGCGGUAAGUCGGGUGUGAAAUCUCGGAGCUUAACUCCGAAACUGCAUUCGAUACUGCCGUGCUUGAGGACUGGAGAGGAGACUGGAAUUUACGGUGUAGCGGUGAAAUGCGUAGAUAUCGGAAGGAACGCCAACAGCGAAAGCGGCACACUGGGCCUUUUCUGACGCUGAGGCACGAAAGCCAGGGGAGCGAACGGG
rnacentral:rRNA from 1 species